rnacentral:misc_RNA from 1 species
UUGACAGGUCAGCGAGCCACUUUAUAGCUUUCCGAGUAGCAUAUUUUAAUUUUAUUUUCUAUUAUCCUUUCGUUUAAGAGUUAUAAAUAAUACAUACGUAGUCUUUAUAGUAGAAUAAUUAUCCUAUUAGAUUGUACGAGGGUGCAAUUGCAGUGUUACAUAAACUAGAGCCAAUCGUGUCGGCGGUCCCGAUGUCUAUAAGUAUAGUACGUCAGUGAUUGAAUGUUGGCUGUAAGAUAAUGGAUGUGGAUGCUCCUAACAUAUUGAAAAGGUGCAGUAGCGCACCUUUGAUCAAUGAGGCGUCUUCUACAGCGGCCACGUCGCCCACAACAACCACAGCGCCCAGGAACACGUCGUUCUUCAAUAUGUUCUCGAACAACAACCGCACGCGGCGGUACAGUCACGGCAGCGGCGGCCUCAGUCCGCUGGCGGCACCUGUCAAUGUAGCUAAUUCGUGGGGCCGCGCGACCCCUAGAGACCGCCUGAACCAGCUGCGGGCCGAGGAGUGCGCUGACGUCAGCAACACACGGGAGGUGGCGCACGAGCGGGAGAUACACAACGCCAUGCAGAUGGGGCAGUCCUGUGAAGACCUCACACUUGUACCUGGGCUUGCUAACUCACCCACGCGGUUACCCAGGUUUUCGCCGUCACCGUCCGUGGUAUCGCCAUCGCCAACACGGAAGUACCAGACGACGCGGCGCAGUCUCUCACCAACCAUAGCUAUAAGAGCGUCAAGCUUCAGUCCAGUCAGCCUGAGUCGACCGAACCAGCUAGUGGGCAAGAGACGGUGCGAUGAAGCAGACUCACCCCUAUCUAAACGUAUGUGCACGUCUGACAGACUAACCCCCUCAACACCAGGAACGCCGGACUCUGACUCCUUAGAGUGUACAUUCAGGCCGGUAUCACCUAGAGCUCAACCAAUGAACGAGUCACCACACGAGUCUCAAGAUGCCCAGGAGAAUCACAAAACCAGUCCUAGCUAAUAGUUUGUAGGGUAUUAAAAGGUGAUGUUAGUGGGGUUCGCAUAAAGUUGGUGGGUGUGAUUGUUAGAUGAAAUAACAUUAUUUAUAACACCGACAGUAUAUGAAUGUCAAUGUAUAAAUAUGCUUAAUGAUGUAACAAUUUUAUGCGAAUUCCUAUUAAUUUGAGAUGAUACUACCCACGUCUGUCGUAACGGACCUAUUAUUCUUUAUAGGGUAAUGCGUUUAUUCCAAUAAAAGUAGCCUUUGGCAAUUAUUGGUUCCUAUAAUCAAUAUGAAUUUGUAGGUAGACGUGAUAGCAAGCUAUUGUAAUUGAGAGGUGCAAUCUUUUAUAAAUAUUUAUAUGUGUUUAAGCAAAAAUGUGUAAACAUGCGGAACAAUAGUUAAAGAAACUGCUAAAGGCAACAAACAUAUAGAUUAAAGAAUUGAAAUAACAUUUUGCUGUGAACUAAACAAAUACAUUAUAAAUAGGACAGCUUUUUGUAUAAAUUUCUUGGGAUAAUUAACAAUUUUGAUUUGAAUAACCUCCUAAAUACAAUUACUUGUUCUCAAACACAUGACGAAGGCAUUGGCUAAUAGGUAGAAAUUCUACCGUACGGUUAUUUCGCUUUCUUGUAGUACAGGGUAUUAUUGCUUAUAUUCACGUAUAUUUCAAUGCUACAAUUUAAUUUUUUCGUGUCUAAAUUGGCAACAUUGAUGACUGCUGCCGAUGCAUUAGUAUUGCCAGUUGAGAGCGAAUAGAAAUUGUGACUUUAUGAAAUGGAACGUAGACUGUUUGUAGUGCUAGCAAACUUGUGAUUUAUUUACACAGUAGGACUUAAAAUACACCACGUGCUAUGCGUGCGAGUGACGUCACAAUUGAGUGUUCAAAUGGAAAGAAGGCAGUGCCUUUUCUGGGGUAUUUUAUAAUGCAAACUUGGCGACACUAGCACAUGUAGCGACGGCCUUUAUAUAAAGGUAAUAGUACUAAUUCUUGCAGACGCCUUCUAAUUUUAUUUUAAGUUAUACCUGUAAUUUUCUCAUCCGUUAAAAAAGGAAGGGACGGGUAAUCGACAGGCGUAAAAUUUAUGGAAUACACAUCAAUUUUAAGGAAAUCUAAAAUAUAAAAAUUUUACAUCGGCCAAUAAGCCGACUGAAUUAAGUAGACAGCACGUCUAACGGCUUAGAGAUGCCUAUUUUAUUCGCACGGGAUAUCAAUUCAUUUUAAAAUUAACUUGUUGACAAUCAUCCGUCCCUUUCCUUUUCGGCGGAUAAGAAAAUGAAUAGAAUAGAAUAGAAAAAGUUUAUUAUAAAAUGACGGGUAUAACUUAAAAUAAAUUUAGGAGGUGUCUGCAGGAAUCGGGGC